rnacentral:tRNA from 1 species
UGGUAGUUUAGUGGUAGAAUUCCAGUUUCCCAAGCUGGUAGCCGGGGUUCGAUUCCCCGU